CUUUAUUGCUUUAUGAAUUUGAUUUCUCCUGAUUGGUUUGUUCAACUGGUCAAUUUUUCUUCAUUCAGUCUUGGUGGACUCUAUGUUUCCAGAAACUUGUCCAUUUCUUCUAGGUUAUCCAUUAUGUGUCCUAGUAGUUGUUCAUAGUAUUUUCAUAUUACAUUGUGUAUUUUGUGGUAUUGUUUGUAAUUUCUCCAUUUU